rnacentral:rRNA from 1 species
GAUGAACGCUGGCGGCGUGCCUAAUACAUGCAAGUCGAGCGAACGGACGAGAAGCUUGCUUCUCUGAUGUUAGCGGCGGACGGGUGAGUAACACGUGGAUAACCUACCUAUAGGACUGGGAUAACUUCGGGAAACCGGAGCUAAUACCGGAUAAUAUUUUGAACCGCAUGGUUCAAAAGUGAAAGACGGUCUUGCUGUCACUUAUAGAUGGAUCCGCGCUGCAUUAGCUAGUUGGUAAGGUAACGGCUUACCAAGGCAACGAUGCAUAGCCGACCUGAGAGGGUGAUCGGCCACACUGGAACUGAGACACGGUCCAGACUCCUACGGGAGGCAGCAGUAGGGAAUCUUCCGCAAUGGGCGAAAGCCUGACGGAGCAACGCCGCGUGAGUGAUGAAGGUCUUCGGAUCGUAAAACUCUGUUAUUAGGGAAGAACAUAUGUGUAAGUAACUGUGCACAUCUUGACGGUACCUAACCAGAAAGCCACGGCUAACUACGUG